AUACAGAGGGUGCAAGCGUUAAUCGGAAUUACUGGGCGUAAAGCGCGCGUAGGUGGUUCGUUAAGUUGGAUGUGAAAGCCCCGGGCUCAACCUGGGAACUGCAUCCAAAACUGGCGAGCUAGAGUAUGGCAGAGGGUGGUGGAAUUUCCUGUGUAGCGGUGAAAUGCGUAGAUAUAGGAAGGAACACCAGUGGCGAGGGCGACCCCCUGGGCUAAAACUGCCUCUGAGGUGCGAAAGCGUGGGGAGCAAACAGGAUUAGAUCCCCUGGUAGUCCACGCCGUAAACGAUGUCGACUAGCCGUUGGGAUCCUUGAGAUCUUAGUGGCGCAGCUAACGCAUUAAGUCGACCGCCUGGGGAGUACGGCCGCAAGGUUAAAACUCAAAUGAAUUGACGGGG
rnacentral:rRNA from 1 species